AUUUAGAAUGUUUCCACCUUUUGCCGAUCCCGUCUGAUCUUGGAAGCUAGGCAUGGUCGGGCCUGGUUAGUACUUGGAUGGGAGACCACCUAGGAAGACCAGGUGUUGUAGGCG
rnacentral:rRNA from 1 species